AGUUGUAAAGCACCAGCAGCAGCUAGUCAAAGGGAUGCUGAGUUUUAUGAAAUGGUGAAGAAACUGAAGGAGGAAGUGGAGGAAAUGCAGAAAAGUAUACACAACCCCACUGCGCCUGCUCAUCAGCCUAGAUGGAAUGGAAAGAGAGGAUGACGAGUCUGUCAGGAAAAUGAUACAGGAUGAAGCACAUCCCACCUCAUCACCCAAACAGAUGUAAAGAACUUGGGAACCUCCCAUCCACCAGGAAAAUCACCCUAUCCCAGGAGUUAGUCAGGAGUUUAUUCAGCAGUGUGCAGCAUCACUAUGUUAGAAGUAGAUCCAAACAUUAUUCUCUGUCAUGCAGAAUUGUCAUCUUAUUGUAGCUUAUUAUAAAAUAGACGUGGGUG
rnacentral:lncRNA from 1 species